ensembl:lncRNA
UUCUUUCCCCGUAGAAGGCCCUCCUCCACCCCAUCUCCUCUGAAACCCAGUCUCUGUGGCAUUUCAUCCAUGACACCAUCUGUCCCUAGUCCCUACUGCCUGGGCAGAGGUGACCCAGGCGCUUUGGACCUCUUAGAACACUUUGCUUGAGGCUCUCCGGUGUCCCUCACAGCUGUGACUCCUCUAAUGUGGGCAGGCCACAUUACCUGCUGCAUCACUGCCACUCAAAAUGCUCUGAACGCUCCCUAUGUCCCCAGCCUCUACUGAGAUGUGGAGCCUGCAAGCUCCAUUCUGCGUUCAGCUGGGUCCACUGUUCUUGCCCCCUGCAUAGGUGUGAAUUACAGCCUGUCUUCUCAAAACACGGGCUGCAAAGGCCAUCUUCUAGGUCAGGCAAUUCUAUUAUCAGGGCGGUUGAAUGUGAAAGGGUCCUACAAAUGUGGUCAUGCCGUGUUUUAAACUGUCUGUAACCAAUUGCUAUGACUUUUGCACAAACCCAUCCCGGAGGUCCGAGUGCCAAAGCUGCCCUUCAUGACUCGCGUCCACAGCCUGAAAAGCCCCUAGUGGAUCCUACCUCUGUGGCUGCUGCGACAGAGCUGCUGCCUUACCUGAGGCUUCCACGAACAACAGAGACAUCUAGUGCAGGAAACAAGGCUCAAGAAAUGUUGCAUGGCUUGGUCUUUCACGUGACUCAGAAGAGGCAAAAGUGAAAUCUGAAAUCCUGCUGACUCUAAAGCCUGUGCCCUCAACCAUUAGGUUUUGUAGCGUUUCCACUCCUUCUGUUUUGCUUCCCUGUCUGGGCUCCUUCCUAGUUCAAGAUGGACAGUCAUCCAUAAGUUCCAUGUCACAUCUGUCAUCCUGCGUUCAAAGACAGAAAUGACUUCCUUCCACCUUUGCCCUCAGAACUCCUAGUGCUGGUCCGUAAAGUGACAUGUGGCAGCUGUGCUCAAAGGUCGGGGUCAGAAGCAGGGCGCCCCAUGGCUGGCUGUGGGCAGGGCCUGACUGCCUCAACAAAGGGGCCCGUCUUUUCCUCCAAUCCAUCAGAUCCAUCCCAGAGGGUUGGGCUGGGCUGGCCUCUCAGAUGACUCUGGGUGUAGAGACACACUGACCGUGCAGCUUUCCCUCCCGUCGGGGCUCCCUCGCUCUGGCCCAGGCACUUAGAGACACCAUGCCCCUCCUCUUUGUGUUCCUGCAUCCGCCUGGCGGCCUCCUCCUCCUUUCUUUGUGGCCCUCUCUCCCUCUGGCUCCCUUUGCUGGCUUUAUUCCUCCCAGGCUUCCUGUCACACUAAGCUCUUUG